UGGGGAAUAUUGGACAAUGGGCGAAAGCCUGAUCCAGCAAUGCCGCGUGAGUGAUGAAGGCCUUAGGGUUGUAAAGCUCUUUUACCCGGGAUGAUAAUGACAGUACCGGGAGAAUAAGCUCCGGCUAACUCCGUGCCAGCAGCCGCGGUAAUACGGAGGGAGCUAGCGUUGUUCGGAAUUACUGGGCGUAAAGCGCACGUAGGCGGCUAUUCAAGUCGGGGGUGAAAGCCCGGGGCUCAACCCCGGAAUUGCCCUCGAAACUAGAUAGCUAGAAUCUUGGAGAGGCGAGUGGAAUUCCGAGUGUAGAGGUGAAAUUCGUAGAUAUUCGGAAGAACACCAGUGGCGAAGGCGACUCGCUGGACAAGUAUUGACGCUGAGGUGCGAAAGCGUGGGGAGCAAACAG
rnacentral:rRNA from 1 species